rnacentral:piRNA from 1 species
UGCAAGAUCCAGGUGCUGGUACGUUCAGU